AUUGAACGCUGGCGGCAGGCCUAACACAUGCAAGUCGAGCGGAUGAAGGGAGCUUGCUCCUGGAUUCAGCGGCGGACGGGUGAGUAAUGCCUAGGAAUCUGCCUGGUAGUGGGGGAUAACGUCCGGAAACGGGCGCUAAUACCGCAUACGUCCUGAGGGAGAAAGUGGGGGAUCUUCGGACCUCACGCUAUCAGAUGAGCCUAGGUCGGAUUAGCUAGUUGGUGGGGUAAAGGCCUACCAAGGCGACGAUCCGUAACUGGUCUGAGAGGAUGAUCAGUCACACUGGAACUGAGACACGGUCCAGACUCCUACGGGAGGCAGCAGUGGGGAAUAUUGGACAAUGGGCGAAAGCAUGAUCCAGCCAUGCCGCGUGUGUGAAGAAGGUCUUCGGAUUGUAAAGCACUUUAAGUUGGGAGGAAGGGCAGUAAGUUAAUACCUUGCUGUUGUGACGUUACCAACAGAAUAAGCACCGGCUAACUUCGUG
rnacentral:rRNA from 1 species